rnacentral:piRNA from 1 species
GCACUGCCUAUCAGUCCCUCCA